rnacentral:rRNA from 1 species
UACAGAGGAGCCAAGCGUUGUCCGGAUUGACUGGGCGUAAAGCGCACGCAGGCGGCGGCGCACGUGGGGUGUGAAAUCUGGCCGCUUAACGGCCAGGCGCCAUCCCAUACGGCGCGGCUGGAGGGAUGCAGAGGUCGAUGGAAUUGCCGGUGUAGUGGUGAAAUGCGUAGAUAUCGGGAGGAACACCAGUGGCGAAGGCGACUACCUGGCCUGUUCUUGACGCUGAGGCGCGAAAGCUAGGGGAGCAAACGGG